GCUGCGAGCGCGGCUGGACGAGCUAACCGCUGCGCAGAUGGCCGUGCCCCAAGGGCUCUCGAGAGGCCAGUUUUCACAGAACCUCGAGCUGAGGACUGGCCACGCCCCCGAGCACUCCCGGAAACUUCCCUGACAAACAACUCCUAGGCGCGUGCGCGGUGGCCACACCCCCAAACUCUCACAGACGCGCUCCUACCUGACGACUCGCGCUGCAUUAUUCAUGAGGCGAAGGUAGCGCCGCUCCCCACCGUUCCGAAAUCCGACAGAGCCCUCUCAGCCGCGCAACCCGCCGCCGAGCUGCGUCCCUUCCAAGCGAUCAGCCACGCUCUCCGACGUGAGUGGCCGGCAAGCUCUCGGGAAGCCCCUGCUGAGGCUCGCCUUCCUUAGGCAAAGCCCCCGGACGCGCCCCGCGGCAGCCACGCCUCCCGCCUGCAGCAGGCCCGCCCACAGGUAUGGCCACGCCCUCAGCGCGUGCAUGGAGAUUGUCCCAGACCUCCGCUUGCCGGCCACGUGCACGACUGGCCGCGACCCGGACUGCCCGACAGACCCGCCCUCUCCGCCUUUGCCUCAUACAUAUUCAUGGCGCUGGCAGCGAUCCUGUGCCGGAGGCUUCACAGAGCGGUCAAGAGCGCGAAAUGGGCGGGGCCUGCGCGAGCCCGGAGGGAGUGGGCGUGGUUAUGUAAACCUCUUGCUGCGUCCAGCUAAUGGGGAUCCCCAGACGCCUGGUGUCCAGAGCUGUGGAAACAGGGUGGUGUGCCGAGCGUUUCUGAUGCUAAAAGCUCAGCAACUGGAUGAAGCAUCCACGUCAUAGAUGGGCUGGCUUUCCAAUAAACAGCUCUGUAACGCGA